rnacentral:rRNA from 1 species
UACGUAGGGGGCAAGCGUUGUCCGGAUUUAUUGGGCGUAAAGAGCGUGUAGGCGGCCUGAAAGGUCAGCUGUGAAACUCGAGGCUCAACCUCGAGACGUCGGUUGAAACCAUCUGGCUAGAGUCCGGAAGAGGAGAGUGGAAUUCCCGGUGUAGCGGUGAAAUGCGCAGAUAUCGGGAAGAACACCCGUGGCGAAGGCGGCUCUCUGGGACGGUACUGACGCUGAGACGCGAAAGCGUGGGAGCGAACAGG